UGGCCUCCUUUGUGGUAUUGCUGUUAUUCUUUGUGGGUUCCAUUUGUUAGCUCUCUGCAUCCAGUCUGUGUAGUAGUCCCAUAACCUUGCAAUUCCAGGCAUAUGCUCCAGCACCUUCCUCAAGGAGCAGAUGUAGUUAUUUAAGAGCUUAACACAGCUUAACAUGUGAGUCAAAAUAGGACUGCAGGGUUCUUGUGCUUAGGAGAACAGGGAAAUUGGCCAGUAUGGAUUCAAACUCAGCGAUUGUGGGUUUCUGAAACAGAAUAUCUGUUGAAACACUGUGUCCCAUAGAAGUAUCAGAGAGGAGUGAUUGAAUAGAUUCCUUUGAAUCACCUAGAGCCAGGUGCCCAGGAUUUGGAAUAUCUCCAGUGAUGGAGACUCCACAGCCCCUAUGGCACAACCUGUUCCAGUGCUCAGUCACCUCCAUAAAUCUGAGUCUAACUGAUAAAUACUUGCUAAAAUCCCUAAUAAUGAGAUGCAUUCUGCCACCCUUAUAAUUAUUCUCUUCCCUUUUUGUAGUUUGAGAAGAAUGAGGCUGUUGACAAGGAAAACAGGUUUUAAAAUGACUGUGUAAGAGGCCCUAUCCAAAAGCUGUGAGAUCCUGUUAUGGCAAAUGAAGUUCUGGAGUAACCCAAGAGAUGAGCUACUUGCUGCAUGUGUUUCUGCCUUGCUGUUCAAAUGUCUUUCCAAUGCUGCACCUUGCCUAGACCUGGUGUCAAAGGCAGUGGCCAGUUGUCUGGAGCUUGCUUUCUGUCCUGUUCAUCCACUGUAAAAGGCCAGUCUUUCUCGGGCUUUCUGAGAGCUCCUGGAGUAUGAACAACCUUAUAAAUUAAAUCACCACACUGUCUGCUGGAUGCUUUCUUGCAGAAGUGCUGGUAACUGUGGAACAUAUUUUGUUGAUCAUCUGAAGAACGGCAGCUUCUACACCUGGCAGCUGCCAGAUGUUCUUGACACACAGCUGGCUGCUGGUAGCUCAGGAGCAGGGCUGAACAGUGCAGAUUCCAAUGGGUUUAUAGCUGGGAUUUGCAGAUUAACGCUCUGUUGUAUUCUGCAGCAUCUUCCUGGGCUGCGUCCCACCUGCAUGAAUGGAAGAAAUUCCUCACGUUUUCCUUCUGCUCUGGUCCUUCAAUCACAGUAAACAGAAUUUAGUUCCAAAUGUUUUAGAAGAGCUGUCUUAUCCAGCGUGGGAUUCGGAUAAGCACAGAACUAACAUUUCCCAUAUUAUGGUUGUAGCCAAUUGCAUAAUUGGUAAUACUGAAAUUAAAAUGUUUAAACUUUAUUUUUUACUUGCAAAUGGUAUUAUAUAGUUUUUGACUGCAGGAAGGGGAAGGACAGCUUGUGAAACAAACCUGUCCAAGCAGGGUAAGUAGCUACCAGGGUUGCCUAAGUCAACUGCUCUUAAAAUGGAGCUUGUGAUAGGGGGAAAGGUGGAAACCAAACAAAAAUAAAUAACACAAAAAAUAGUAGUUAGAUUUCAAAUGCUGAGCUGCCUGAGAAGAAACAACUUCUUCAGAAUUCCAUGGGGAAUGACUGUUGUUGGCACAUACACAUCAGUGAUCUGCAACACUGAUACAAUGGUACAGUUGUUUUUAUAAGACAUUUAGCUCUGAAUUUGACACUCUUGAACAUGUGUAUUAGAGCAUGAUACAUAUGUGAAUUCUGAAGACUUCUUUUUUACAAGUUUGAGUAAAUUCAAAAAGCAGUUAUUUCUUGGUUUAGAGAACACCUUUGGAAUUUUGCUUUGUGUUUUCACUGUGCAGGACUCUGAAUAUUUAGUCAGAAAGACUGCACAGGCUUUUUGUUGUUAGGUCACUGUUUGUGACAAAACCCCAAGUAGGUAAAGAGCCUCAUAUACCAAUGAAUGCAGAGGAUUGCAUACUUUGAACAGGAGCAAAGACUUUGUAGCCAACUGUAUGGAAGGAAUUGUUUCCAGCUCUCCAUAAAGCUUUCAAAUCUAUGUAAUAGGCUUUUUUUUAGAAAUGUCACUGUUCUAGCUUAGCUUAACUGAUGGAAUAGCAUUCACCACACUGAAGUCAGGGCAUGGUCUGAACUCCACUGAAAUAAGUGGAGGAAAAAAAAUAUCUUGGGCUUGGACUAGGCUUGUAGUGCCAAGGGAAGCUUCUCCAGGUCAUUGUAGGGAAACUGUUUUCCCAAUAGUUUAUCAUAAAAUGUGUCCAGACUGGAGCCUCUGAAAGAUUUCCUUAUCUUAAAAAGGCACCAUGAAUCUCCUUAUUGACAUCAUCCACUUUUCAGCCAUAAAAUCACACUUCCUGCCUUUUACUGAUGAACAGGAGUUGGAAAAGUCAGCCUUAAUAUAUAUCCAUAGAUAGAUAGAUAUAGAUGUCCUUUUUCCCAAGCAUCUCCUGUCAAGUAUUUUUCCUUGGCUGUCCCUCAUGUGUUUCAAGUGACAUUUCCUCUGCUGACUCUGCCUGUUUGACCUUCAUUCUUAUUUGUCCGAAGUUCUGUGGUAUUUUUCUUGGUAUUGAAAGUAGUUCAUGAGGCUAGAAAAAGUGUUCUACAUCUUGAUUUCAAAUUUGUCAAGUGUCAAAACCUGACUAUUUAAAAAAGAAAUGUAGCAGCUCAAUCUCUUCUGAACUCCACCCCAUUCAUCACAGUAAAAGCAAUUUUGGGUGGACUCGGUGUUGGUAAUUUGUAAACCAUUAGGGACUUCUAGAGGCAGUAAUUCUGUGUUUUAAAAAAAGCUGAAAAGAUUUUUUUAUUGUUGGAAUUUCUUCCCUCAUUUAAACAUAAUCUGAAUAAUUUGUACUAGAAACUAGUAAAAAUUACUCUCAUUUCAAGUGUUCUUGAAUAGAUUUUAACUCUAUCCCUAUAUCUUAAUUUUCUGUAGGAGAGUAAAAACGAUUUUCAGCCUCCAAGAAGCAUACAGAGCUUUCUUCCUGUCCCUUCUCAUUCCCACUUUAAGCAACAGUAUGUGGAAUCUAAUCUUCAAAUAGCUUCUUUUACUUAAUUUGGCUACUGGUAAAAUGAAUAUAUUUUUUAAUUAACUGCAAUUUUUUUUUUCUGUUUCCUUAUGAGUAAAGGCAACCUGAUUUUAUCCUGAAAAAAUAGCCAUCAAGCAUCUAUAUACAGCAAAUCAGUCAGUUUGCCAGGAGUUGAGCCAAUGCAUAAAUGAGAAGGGGCUAAAAAUGAAGCAGAAUACUCUGUGAGUUAAUAGAAAGUUUCCUAUUGAUGUCUGUGGGCUGAAUUUCUCCAAGUAACUGUACUGAAGUGUGCAAUGCAAUACAUGAAAGAUGUAUGUAUUAAUAAGUGGAUCAUGUUCCAUCCAGUGUGGUGUAUAAAGACCUUGCAUCUGAUAGACAUUGGGAGGCAAUUAUGCUGGCUGCUGAAACUUGUGAACCUGAUAAAAACCCACCCAGUGAUCCUCAGACCCCCUAAAGAAGAACUGAUAAUGGAUCUGCCUUCAGCAAAUGGAGACAUGGGAUAAGUUUCACCCUUUCUGGGAGGAGAGGAAGGAGUGUAUGAGCAAGAUGAAGAGGACUGGCCAGCCAAAGGCCAGCAAGGAGGGAGACCAGUACGUUGCAUCUCUGCUGCUGAGCAUGAAGAUCACCAGCACUGAAAAUUUCAGUUCAGUGUUUCUUAUGUAAACCAAACAGCAGGACGAGUAAGUCUCUGAGGAUCAGUUCCAUGUUAAUAAUUUGGGCUCUGUGUAAAAUGAUUCAUGUACAUGAUGGUGAUAAGCACAGGGAGGUACACUAAGGCAUGGUUAGCAAGUAGGAUGUCUUACUAGAGGAAUAUACUGGACUUGAUUUAAAGUGUGUAUAAAGUUAUGUAAAUAUUUAGGGUCACUGUUUCCCAGGUGAUAGCCAACUGUAAAGCAUGGUUUUUGUCUUUUCUAUCAUUCCUGCUUAUAAUCAAUCUACCUGUAAUUAUCCUGCCCCAAUUUUGGCCCUGCCUCCACAAUCCAUGCCAUCUACAUCCCUCAAAAUACACCUAUAAGAUCCUCAAAAUCACCUGGAAGUAUGAGCAUUGUGAAAAAAGAGUUGCUUGAAUGUUACGGAAAAUUCUGCUGUUCAUGUUGCACUGAUGUUAUAUGUCUUGUUCUUCAUGUCUUUUAUUUUUGGAUUUGAUUCCCUGGUUUGGUCAAGGAACUCAAAUAUCACUCAGAGUUCUGGAUCUUGAUUAAUCAGAGAGUUCAUCUUUCUGUUUGUCACAGGAAAUGGUGAUCAACUGGAUCAUCAGAAUUGCUUCUUUGUUGCCUUGGUUUUUUUUUCCCUUUAAGUGAAACUUCAAGUGGCUGACAAGUGUUUUGGAGGCCAUAUAGAAAUCUGUUUGUCUAGAUGUUCUUCAGAGUCCAAAUGUUUGCAGAAACUCAAGUGGCUGUGGGAAAGUGUGUGGAUGACCCUUAUUAGUAGGGUCUGCUCUGUUCAGCAGCUGAGAGCUGAAGCUGUUUUAAGUCUUUGGCUUGUGACAGUAUAUUUUUCUAGUGGUUUGAGAACCCAGGUGGGCACCAUUUUAAAGUUGUCAACAAUGUAAAUACUUCUAAUGUAUAAGCAUAUUUUUUAAAAUGACACACCAGAAAGUUGAUGAUGUGCUGCAUGUUUCACUAGAUUAAUGAACUUCCAGCACACAUAUCAUGUAGCAUUACUUCAUAUAGUGUAAUCCACAUUUCUGCAAUCAUGCAAGAUACCAAAAAAUACAUCAUAAAAUGUGCUAGAAGAUAUGAGAGCCUGUGACACAGACUAGAUAUUUUUCUAGUAGCUCAUCCACAAAAUUAAAGUGGUUGAAACAGAAAAUGUUGAAACCAAAAGAAUGUUGGAGUAAAUAGCAACCAAGAAUUCCUUUCAUAACUCACUUUUGUUUACUGGUAAAUUCUAUCUUCACAUUGUGAACAUAAUUAGUAAAUAUCUAGUGGCAUUUUUUCAGGUUCAGUUUAACGUCUAUAUUAACUAAGUAAAUGCUUAGAUUUUGCUGUAUGCAUAGAUGAUAGUGAAGGAAGAGAACUGUAUAUCAAUGUAAUGCUUGUCCUGAAUUUCCUAAUACAAGGGAUAAUUACUACCACCUUUAUCCUCAUCUCUUUUUGGUUUUGAGCAAAAUUUAAUUUGACACUGCAAAAGAAAUACAAAAUACUUUAGGCAGUGCUAUAUUGUCUCUUCAACAAGCAUAGCCAUUAAAAAAAAAAUCUUAAUCUUUGUAUGCUUAUGUGUCAGAUAAACAAAAACUUUGAAAAAUCAGAUUCCUAUUUGUCCAACUAGAUUGUUACAGAAAAAUCAAUGUUUCUCAUUAAUCACAACCCCUAACUUCUACUUCUGUGGUGCAAACUGCAAAUCAGUAAUACUUUUGUUUGCAGAUUUGAAAUUAAUUAGUUCAUUUUGUACAAGUUACAAAAUACUGAUAUAAAGUGUGGGCUGCUAAUGUCUUGAGCCUUGUUCAGACACACUGAGAUGGCAUACUCUGUACCCCAUAUCUCAUAGUAUUUCACAUCUACAUUUUAUGUUAUACUCUAUCUGAAUGUUUUAACA